UGUAUGCAUUGUAAUCAGUACUUUGAAAUUACAGAAUUUUUCGGACUGUAAGACAUACCAGACCAUAAGACGCACCUAGGGUUUAGAGGAGGAAAAUAGAGAAAAAAUUUUGAAGCAAAAAAUGUGGUAAAAUAUUUAAUAACAUAAAUAACACAGGCGGCUGCCCCCAUUCCCCACAG